rnacentral:rRNA from 1 species
CCCUUAGAUGUCCGGGGCCGCACGCGCGCUACACUGAAGGAAUCAGCGUGGCUUUCUCCCUGACCCGAAAGGGUUGGGAAACCCGUCGAAUCUCCUUCGUGAUAGGGAUUGGGGCUUGAAAUUGUUCCCCAUGAACGAGGAAUUCCCAGUAAGCGCGAGUCAUAAGCUCGCGUUGAUUACGUCCCUGCCCUUUGUACACACCGCCCGUCGCUACUACCGAUUGAAUGGCUUAGUGAGGCCUCAGGAUCCGCGCUUAAUGUGUGGAGAAUUUGGACAAACUACGUCAUUUAGAGGAAGUAAAAGUCGUAACA